rnacentral:tRNA from 1 species
CUGGAAUGGUCUAGUUGGUUAUGACGACUGCCUAACACGCAGUAGGUCCCGAGUUCGAUUCUCGGUUCCAGUA